GGAGGACGCCGGGCGGCCGCUGCCUAAAGGCAGAGGAAAGUCCGGACACCAAAGGGCAGGGAGGUCGCUAACGGCGACCGGGGGCGACCCCAGGGAAAGGGCCACAGAAAAGAUACCGCCCUGAAGUAAAAUUCAGGGUAAGGGUGAAAAGGCGGGGUAAUAGCCCACCAGCCUGCCGGGCGACCGGCAGGGCUUGGUAACCCCCUCCCGGUGCAAGGCCGAAUAGGUUCCGCUUGAAGGACUGCCCGUCCUUUUUCCUUACGGAAAGGCGGAACGGGUUGGCUGCUCGAGCGCGCCGGCAACGGCGCGCCAAGACGAAUGGCCGCCAUCCCUUUUAAAAGGGAGACAGGAUCCGGCUUACGGCGCCCUCCGGCA
rnacentral:RNase_P_RNA from 1 species